UGGGGAAUCUUGCGCAAUGCGCGAAAGCGUGACGCAGCAACGCCGCGUGGGGGAAGACGGCCUUCGGGUUGUAAACCCCUUUCAGUUGGGACGAAGCUCCGUCCGUUAAUAGCGGACCGGAGUGACGGUACCUUCAGAAGAAGCCCCGGCUAACUACGUGCCAGCAGCCGCGGUAAUACGUAGGGGGCAAGCGUUGUCCGGAAUCAUUGGGCGUAAAGAGCGUGUAGGCGGCCCGGUAAGUCCGCCGUGAAAGCCCAGGGCUCAACCCUGGGAUGCCGGUGGAAACUGCCGGGCUAGAGUCCGGAAGAGGCGAGUGGAAUUCCUGGUGUAGCGGUGAAAUGCGCAGAUAUCAGGAGGAACACCAAUGGCGAAGGCAGCUCGCUGGGACGGUACUGACGCUGAGACGCGAAAGCGUGGGGAGCAAACAG
rnacentral:rRNA from 1 species